UCGCUAGCAUGCUUAACACAUGCAAGUCGAGCGGUAAGGCCUUUCGGGGUACACGAGCGGCGAACGGGUGAGUAACACGUGGGUGAUCUGCCCUGCACUUCGGGAUAAGCCUGGGAAACUGGGUCUAAUACCGGAUAUGACCUCNUGUUGCAUGACUUGNGGUGGAAAGAUUUAUCGGUGCAGGAUGGGCCCGCGGCCUAUCAGCUUGUUGGUGGGGUAAUGGCCUACCAAGGCGACGACGGGUAGCCGACCUGAGAGGGUGACCGGCCACACUGGGACUGAGACACGGCCCAGACUCCUACGGGAGGCAGCAGUGGGGAAUAUUGCACAAUGGGCGAAAGCCUGAUGCAGCGAC
rnacentral:rRNA from 1 species